GGAAACGACUGCUAAGACUGGAUAGGAGACAAGAAGGCAUCUUUUUGUUUUUAAAAGACCUAGCAAUAGGUAUGCUUAGGGAGGAGCUUGCGUCACAUUAGUUAGUUGGUGGGGUAAAGGCCUACCAAGACUAUGAUGUGUAGCCGGGCUGAGAGGUUGAACGGCCACAUUGGGACUGAGACACGGCCCAAACUCCUACGGGAGGCAGCAGUAGGGAAUUUUCGGCAAUGGAGGAAACUCUGACCGAGCAACGCCGCGUGAACGAUGAAGUAUUUCGGUACGUAAAGUUCUUUUAUUAGGGAAGAAUAAAUGAUGGAAAAAUCAUUCUGACGGUACCUAAUGAAUAAGCCCCGGCUAACUAUGUGCCAGCAGCCGCGGUAAUACAUAGGGGGCAAGCGUUAUCCGGAAUUAUUGGGCGUAAAGGGUGCGUAGGCGGUUAAAUAAGUUUAUGGUCUAAGUGCAAUGCUUAACAUUGUGAUGCUAUAAAAACUGUUUAACUAGAGUAAGAUAGAGGCAAGUGGAAUUCCAUGUGUAGUGGUAAAAUGCGUAAAUAUAUGGAGGAACACCAGUAGCGAAGGCGGCUUGCUGGGUCUUUACUGACGCUGAGGCACGAAAGCGUGGGGAGCAAACAGGAUUAGAUACCCUGGUAGUCCACGCCGUAAACGAUGAGUACUAAAUGUUGGGUAAAACCAGUGUUGAAGUUAACACAUUAAGUACUCCGCCUGAGUAGUACGUACGCAAGUAUGAAACUUAAAGGAAUUGACGGGACUCCGCACAAGCGGUGGAUCAUGUUGUUUAAUUCGAAGGUACCCGAAAAACCUCACCAGGUCUUGACAUGCUUCUGCAAAGCUGUAGAAACACAGUGGAGGUUAUCAGUUGCACAGGUGGUGCAUGGUUGUCGUCAGCUCGUGUCGUGAGAUGUUGGGUUAAGUCCCGCAACGAGCGCAACCCUUAUUGUUAGUUGCCAGCACGUAAUGGUGGGGACUUUAGCAAGACUGCCAGUGAUAAAUUGGAGGAAGGUGGGGACGACGUCAAAUCAUCAUGCCCCUUAUGACCUGGGCUACAAACGUGAUACAAUGGCUGUUACAAAGGGUAGCUGAAACGUAAGUUUUUGGCGAAUCUCAAAAAAACAGUCUCAGUUCGGAUUGAAGUCUGCAACUCGACUUCAUGAAGUUGGAAUCGCUAGUAAUCGCGAAUCAGCAUGUCGCGGUGAAUACGUUCUCGGGGUUUGUACACACCGCCCGUCA
rnacentral:rRNA from 1 species